rnacentral:rRNA from 1 species
UACGAAGGGGGCUAGCGUUGUUCGGAAUUACUGGGCGUAAAGCGUGCGCAGGCGGUUCGUUAAGUUCGAUGUGAAAGCCCCGGGCUCAACCUGGGAACUGCAUUGGAAACUGGCGGGCUUGAGUGUGGCAGAGGGGGGUGGAAUUCCACGUGUAGCAGUGAAAUGCGUAGAGAUGUGGAGGAACACCGAUGGCGAAGGCAGCCCCCUGGGCUAACACUGACGCUCAGGCACGAAAGCGUGGGGAGCAAACAGG